rnacentral:rRNA from 1 species
CCUGAGAAACCUAAAAGUUCGAAAAGAGAGAUUCAACGUCAACAUGUACAGUAUUCACGUGAGUAGUGAUGUGAGUUUUAUUGUAAGGGUCAAAUCUUGCAUUUAUCACUUGCACAUUUUCAUGUUAUUUUAUUGCUGUACUACUGUCGGCGUGCACUUCUCUCUUAGUAGGACGUCCCGACCCGUUGAGUCUUAGCCUACGGCCCAAAUGGUUGCUUUUAAUAUAAUUUAUAUUAAAAACCUUUGGUGUUCUCCUGGCCUAAGUGCUCGACGGUAGUUAAACGACUUGGUAUUGAGCCGCAAUUAAUUUUGCGUCCGGCCUGCCGCAAGUUUAUUGACAAAUUCUGUAUUAGCAUAGACUUUGUGCUUGCUAUAUGGUUUUGUUGGCUGUUUGCAUGACAGUGCUCUUGGACUGGCUUUUUAUAUACCUGUCAGGGACGCUUAGGCUUUGGGUACUCUCAGGACCCGUCUUGAAACACGGACCAAGGAGUCUAACAUGUACGCGAGUCAUUGGGUAUAUAUUUUCUUUCGGGAAUUUAUAUAAAACAAACCUAAAGGCGAAAUGAAAGUAAAGGUUAAACCUUGUGUUUAACUUAGGGAUGAUGGGUUAUUAAUUUAUCUCCGCAAUCCCAGGGCGUCUUAAUCUCAUUACGAGAUGU